UACGAAGGGGGCUAGCGUUGCUCGGAAUCACUGGGCGUAAAUGGUGCGUAGGCGGGUCUUUCAGUCAGGGGUGAAAUCCUGGAGCUCAACUCCAGAACUGCCUUUGGUACUGAGGAUCUUGAGUUCGGGAGAGGUGAGUGGAACUGCGAGUGUAGAGGUGAAAUUCGUAGAUAUUCGCAAGAACACCAGUGGCGAAGGCGGCUCACUGGCCCGAUACUGACGCUGAGGCACGAAAGCGUGGGGAGCAAACAGG
rnacentral:rRNA from 1 species